rnacentral:lncRNA from 1 species
CGACCGCGGGUCCGCGACACGCGCAUCUCCCGGAGGCGGCGGCCCUCGUCUCAGACGAGGAAAGCCGCAGCUCAAGAGCCCGCGACCACACGACGCGGGGCGCCGCCGCCGCCUCCUCACUCGGAAAGACCCGGCGCAGCCAUCUUCCCUUGGCUCCUCUCGCGAGAGCUCCGAAGGAAACGCCGAGGAGUAUUAGCUGGCCUCUCCUGCGCUCGCGUCUGUGUCCGGCCAGCGCCCGCGCUCCCCUCGCACAGAGUUCCACGCUGGGGCGGGCCCUGCGGUUGGAGACCCAAGGCUCAGAACUCUAAACUGGUGCUCUGGGCCUUUGCAAAGAAGGAGGUCAACAGCAGUUAC